rnacentral:rRNA from 1 species
UACGAGGGGGGGCAAGCGUUGUUCGGAAUUACUGGGCGUAAAGGGCUCGUAGGCGGCCAACUAAGUCAGACGUGAAAUCCCUCAGCUUAACUGGGGAACUGCGUCUGAUACUGGAUGGCUUGGAUCCGGAAGAGGGAUGCGGAAUUCCAGGUGUAGCGGUGAAAUGCGUAGAUAUCUGGAGGAACACCGGUGGCGAAGGCGGCAUCCUGGGCCGGUAUUGACGCUGAGGAGCGAAAGCCAGGGGAGCAAACGGG